GAACUUAAGCAUAUCAAUAAGCGGAGGAAAAGAAACUAACAAGGAUUCCCCUAGUAACUGCGAGUGAAGCGGGAAAAGCUCAAAUUUAAAAUCUGGCGUGCCUCUGGUCGUCCGAGUUGUAGUUUAGAGAAGCGUUUUCUGUGUUGGACCGUGUAUAAGUCUCUUGGAACAGGGCGUCAUAGAGGGUGAGAAUCCCGUCUUUGACACGGACUACCAAUGCUUUGUGAUACGCUCUCAAAGAGUCGAGUUGUUUGGGAAUGCAGCUCAAAAUGGGUGGUAAAUUCCAUCUAAAGCUAAAUAUAGGCGAGAGACCGAUAGCGAACAAGUACCGUGAGGGAAAGAUGAAAAGCACUUUGGAAAGAGAGUUAAACAGUACGUGAAAUUGCUGAAAGGGAAACGCUUGAAGUCAGUCACGUCUGCCAGGACUCAGCCUUGCUUCUGCUUGGUGUACUUUCUGGUUGGAUGGGCCAACAUCGAUUUCGACCGUUGGAGAAAGGCUUUGGGAAUGUGGCACCUUCGGGUGUGUUAUAGCCCUUUGUCGUAUACAACGGUUGGGAUCGAGGACUGCAGCAUGCCUUCAUGGCCGGGGUUCGCCCACGUACAUGCUUAGGAUGUUGGCAUAAUGGCUUUAAGCGACCCGUCUUGAAACACGGACCAAGGAGUCUAACAUGCCUGCGAGUGUUUGGGUGGAAAACCCAUGCGCGUAAUGAAAGUGAUAGCUGAGAUCCUCUCAUCAGGAGCAUCAGCGCCUGGACUUGAUCUACGGAGACGGUUCUACGGUAGAGCAUGUAUGUUGGGACCCGAAA
rnacentral:rRNA from 1 species